rnacentral:rRNA from 1 species
UACGAAGGGGGCUAGCGUUGUUCGGAAUUACUGGGCGUAAAGCGCGUGUAGGCGGGUCUUUAAGUCAGGGGGGAAAUGCCAAGGCUCAACCUUGGAACUGCCUUUGAUACUGGAGAUCUUGAGUCCGGGAGAGGUGAGUGGAAUUGCGAGUGUAGAGGUGAAAUUCGUAGAUAUUCGCAAGAACACCAGUGGCGAAGGCGGCUCACUGGCUCGGAACUGACGCUGAGACGCGAAAGCGUGGGGAGCAAACAGG